AAUAACAAUACAUAAAAGACAGUUUGGAAAAUUAUCCCACCAAACAAGUCUAGAUUUCAAGCUAAGCCCAAAAUGAUCAAGAACAUGUACAUCAGCAUUUUCUAUUCUACACACAUGUAGUAUCCUACAUGUCGAUGUUGAUGCAAUAGCAAUCAAACUUGCAUGGGGCGGGGUUUACCCAAUGCGAACUCUCGGAUAGCGGCUGUGAAUUCCUUUGUCAACAAAAAAAAAUAGCAAUCGAGCUUGUUCCACUAAAGCAACCGUGUGACAACUCCAUUCAUCCAUAAGAAUCAUUCUAAAGUCAAACACAUCAAUGCCUAUCAGAAUCCCAUGGUAAAGCCAUAAUUAUUGCCAAAAUCUGCAUCAACAACAUUGCUAAACCUCUCUGAUAUGGCAGCCAAAACUUCCCUUUUCUCAUCACACACUACUACACCAACUCCCCACCUUUCUUGACCCAUCAACAGUUUCAACCUUCGUCAUGUGGCUUUACCUAUGCUCUAAUCAAUCUAUUCGGCAUCUGAUCCCUACUAGCCUCUUCUUGUAAUCGAGUGAAUUCCAAGAAAUAAGAAUAAGCAAAAUCUGCAACCUCUUUUGCUUUCAUCACUUUAUUCUCAAAUAUCAAG
rnacentral:lncRNA from 1 species